CCGGCGACCGGCGCACGGGUGAGUAACACGUAUGGAACCUGCCCGCAGCAGGGGGAUAAGCGGAAGAAAUUCCGUCUAAUACCGCGUAACACCGCGGAGGGGCAUCCCUCGGCGGUUAAAGAUUCAUCGGCUGCGGAUGGCCAUGCGGCGCAUUAGCAGUCGGCGGGGUAACGGCCCACCGAGGCGACGAUGCGUAGGGGUUCUGAGAGGAAGGUCCCCCACACUGGUACUGAGACACGGACCAGACUCCUACGGGAGGCAGCAG
rnacentral:rRNA from 1 species